UCCUUAGAUGUUCUGGGCCGCACGCGCGCUACACUGAUGCAUUCAACAAGUUUUACCUUGGCCGAGAGGCCUGGGAAAUCUUUCAAAUAUGUAUCGUGAUAGGGAUAGAUUAUUGCAAUUAUUAAUCUUGAACGAGGAAUUCCUAGUAAAUGCAGAUCAUCAUUCUGCGUUGAUUACGUCCCUGCCCUUUGUACACACCGCCCGUCGCACCUACCGAUUGAAUGAUCCGGUGAAGCCUCGGGAUUGUGCCCAGAGAACUUUAUUGUGAUUUGGGUGUGAGAACUUGUCUAAACCUUAUCAUUUAGAGGAAGGUGAAGUCGUAACA
rnacentral:rRNA from 1 species